UACGUAGGUGGCGAGCGUUGUCCGGAUUUAUUGGGUUAAAGGGUGCGUAGGCGGCCACCGCAAGUCGACUGUGAAAUCUCCGGGCCUUAACCCGGAAAGGUCAGCCGAUACUGCGGGGCUAGAGUGCAGAAGGGGCAACUGGAAUUCUCGGUGUAGCGGUGAAAUGCGUAGAGUAUCGAGAGGAACACCUGCGGCGAAGGCGGGUUGCUGGGCUGACACUGACGCUGAGGCGCGAAAGCUAGGGGAGCGAACGGG
rnacentral:rRNA from 1 species